AGUCAUAUUUUAAAAAGAUUAUUAUUGAAUUCUGUAUCUGAUGGCAUGUCAAUUUUCCAUUGGGAGAAAUUGUUACUUUCAAAUCACAUUUAAGCCUGAUAUUAAAAAUUUACAAGAAUACCGAUAACUAUACUUGCAGAAUUAAUGAAUUCAGUGACUGAACAAGUUAAAUUAUGCUGAAUGAAACCGUAUCGAUUUAAAAUAAUUAACGCUAUCCCUGUUGUCUUUCGCAACGAUCAAAGAAAUGAAAUGAAAGCCCUAUAAAGGUUGAUGAAGCAGGAAAUUAACUUUUCCAUCAAACAUAUAUUUUUUUUCUCAGAAGUUAAUUGUGCAAAACUGCUUUAAUCACUCAACUUGGAUCAUAUAUAUGGCCCAGGUACAAGCACUAAGUGAAUUUGGUAGACAUAUUAAUCAAUCAAUACGAUACUUUUCUGCCUCGACAAGAAAUGGAAUUAUCGGGUGCUGUAAAAAUUUCAAAAGAAAAAUCUGUUCUAUCAAAGGUUUCUGACCUUGGUGCUUAUUCUUUUGUGACUCACACUGUGUUAACAUUAGCAUAGUAAUACUGUUAUGUCAUUGUCUCGAAACACGUCUCUGGAGGUGUUAAGUAUUUUUCAUAUUUUAAUCAUAUUCUUACUCUUAGGAAUACCUAAAA
rnacentral:misc_RNA from 1 species